GACGAACGCUGGCGGCGUGCCUAACACAUGCAAGUCGAACGGAAAGGCCGUGCUUUUGUGCGGUGCUCGAGUGGCGAAGGGGGGAGUAACACGUUAGUAACCUGCCCUUGUCUUUGGGAUAACUUCAGGAAACUGGGGCUAAUACCGGAUAGGAUCUCCUGCUGCAUGGUGGGGGUUGGAAAGUUUCGGCGGUUGGGGAUGGACUCGCGGCUUAUGAGCUUGUUGGUGGGGUAGUGGCUUACCAAGGCCUGGACGGGUAGCCGACCUGGGAGGGUGAGCGGCCACACUACGACUGGGAUACGGCCCAGACUCGUACGGGAGGCAACGGUGGGGAAUAUUGCACAAUGGGAGGAAGCCUGAUGCGGCAACGCCGCGUGCGGGAUGACGGGCUUCGGGUAGUAAACCGCUUCCGCCUGAGACGAAGCGUGAGUGACGGUACUGGGUGAAGAAGCACCGGCUAACUACGUG
rnacentral:rRNA from 1 species